UACGUAGGGGGCUAGCGUUGUCCGGAUUUAUUGGGCGUAAAGCGCGCGUAGGCGGCUACCUAAGUCGGAUGUGAAAGCCCCUGGCUCAACUGGGGAAGUGCACCCGAAACUGGAUAGCUUGAGUGCGAAAGAGGGUCGCGGAAUUCCCGGUGUAGAGGUGAAAUUCGUAGAUAUCGGGAGGAACACCUAUGGCGAAGGCAGCUCGCUGGGACGUUACUGACGCUGAGACGCGAAAGCGUGGGGAGCAAACAGG
rnacentral:rRNA from 1 species